rnacentral:rRNA from 1 species
AUGAACCGGCGAGUUACGAUUUGAUGCAAGGUUAAGCAGUAAAUGUGGAGCCGUAGCGAAAGCGAGUCUGAAUAGGGCGUUUAGUAUUUGGUCGUAGACCCGAAACCAGGUGAUCUACCCUUGGUCAGGUUGAAGUUCAGGUAACACUGAAUGGAGGACCGAACCGACUUACGUUGAAAAGUGAGCGGAUGAACUGAGGGUAGCGGAGAAAUUCCAAUCGAACCUGGAGAUAGCUGGUUCUCUCCGAAAUAGCUUUAGGGCUAGCCUCAAGUGAUGAUUAUUGGAGGUAGAGCACUGUUUGGACGAGGGGCCCCUCUCGGGUUACCGAAUUCAGACAAACUCCGAAUGCCAAUUAAUUUAACUUGGGAGUCAGAACAUGGGUGAUAAGGUCCGUGUUCGAAAGGGAAACAGCCCAGACCACCAGCUAAGGUCCCAAAAUAUAUGUUAAGUGGAAAAGGAUGUGGCGUUGCCCAGACAACUAGGAUGUUGGCUUAGAAGCAGCCAUCAUUUAAAGAGUGCGUAAUAGCUCACUAGUCGAGUGACACUGCGCCGAAAAUGUACCGGGGCUAAACAUAUUACCGAAGCUGUGGAUUGUCCUUUGGACAAUGGUAGGAGAGCGUUCUAAGGGCGUUGAAGCAUGAUCGUAAGGACAUGUGGAGCGCUUAGAAGUGAGAAUGCCGGUGUGAGUAGCGAAAGACGGGUGAGAAUCCCGUCCACCGAUUGACUAAGGUUUCCAGAGGAAGGCUCGUCCGCUCUGGGUUAGUCGGGUCCUAAGCUGAGGCCGACAGGCGUAGGCGAUGGAUAACAGGUUGAUAUUCCUGUACCACCUAUAAUCGUUUUAAUCGAUGGGGGGACGCAGUAGGAUAGGCGAAGCGUGCGAUUGGAUUGCACGUCUAAGCAGUAAG